UCUUAUUUCCUAUUAUUCCUGAAAAUUUCAUCAAAAACGGUCCAGUAGUUUGGAUUUUACGGAGUUUUUUCCACUCUCCUAUACAAGGUUCCCCACUGUGCGUCAUGUCAAUCAGUGUCAGUGUUUCCCUUUUCAUCGGUGUUAGUCCUUAUCAAUAGCUUCGCUUUAUAGGCCCUGUCAUUCAAAUGUACCUCCGUAAAUUCUUCAUCAUCAAGUUCUCCCCCAAUUUUCUUUCACUCAUUGAGGUUGGCUGGUGGGUGUUCCGGGAGAAAAGAAAGUUUUCUUACAAUCUCAGGUCUUCGACCCAUUGACAUCCGUAUCUAAACUUUCGAUUUUCAAAACCUUCGGACACUCAAUUUGAAUGAGAAUUCAUUCAACCGCGGAAUGUCCUUGUGAUGAUUGAAAAAUAAGACGUUAUGGUGCUUGACAUUGCGUGCCUGUUUCAGAAGUUUUUUUUUUUUCAAGUUAAAAAAAAUCGCCUCCCUUCAGAUUAUUUCUUUGAUGUCGUUUUUCAGGGAAUAUACAAAAUUUUUUUUCCAGUAGUUUGAAGUUUCCUCCUUUUCCUUACUUGUCUCUGUAUAUUAAAAAUUAAUAUUGAACUUUAGCAAGAAUUUUUGCUGUCGAUAUUGUUCAGUGGCUCUAAAAAGUAGGUACUUUCCAAUAUAACGAAGAAGCACUUGAUAUUACCGAUGUUCAUAAAUUCAUAUUAAACUGGCCCACGAUCAAACAAAACAAGAUACAAUAUGGACAAAAAACCCAAUUAAAUAUUAAUUUGUCAAACGUUUUAAAAAAAAUCAGUUCUCAGAAAAAAAAAUAUCAAAAAAGGACACAUCCGGAUUGUCUCGCAGUUCCUCAAAUAAUGCCAUCACUUUGAUUUCGGUUGAACUUGAUGUUAAAUUGAGAUUGAUUCAAGAGGUGGAACUUAAACAUUUUUUUUUUUGAAAUACACACAAAACCGGAUGACUACACAAACAGACUAUAUCACAAAGAACUGGGAAUUUUAUUUGUUAAUUUUCGAGGAAAAUUCUGUUCUUCCGAUUGCUCUGGGAAAACUGAUGCGUAUGGGUUUUCCAAUUUUAAAAGUAAUUUCAAGGCAAUCAAGUUUUCUACUUUGAACACAACUUGUAUCGAUAUGGUUCACUUAAUUUAUCUUUUUUUUUUCAAGGCAAAAAGUAAAAUUUUUAAAAUCUUUCGUUACACGUUGCUAA